rnacentral:rRNA from 1 species
UACGUAGGGUGCAGGCGUUAAUCGGAAUUACUGGGCGUAAAGCGUGCGCAGGCGGUCUAUUAAGACAGGUGUGAAAUCCCCGGGCUCAACCCGGGAACUGCGUCCGAUACUGGAAGGCUUGAAUCCGGGAGAGGGAUGCGGAAUUCCAGGUGUAGCGGUGAAAUGCGUAGAUAUCUGGAGGAACACCGGUGGCGAAGGCGGCAUCCUGGACCGGCAUUGACGCUGAGGCGCGAAAGCCAGGGGAGCAAACGGG